UCUGGAAUGCCGAGUAAGUCAGAUGAUUGGCCGAAAGGCUUCAGAAGUCGCCCGCACUUUCCACGCUCGACUAUUGACUACGCCAUCAGCAAUCAGCCAUCAGCGGUUUGGCAUGGCUGAUCGCUGACGGCCGAUGGCUGAAGCUGCAGUUCAGCUCUUUGACAACUGACGUUCGUGUGAUGUGUGGUGUUCGAGGAAUCACACCGAGAACUACG
rnacentral:misc_RNA from 1 species